rfam:Lupinus angustifolius cultivar Tanjil contig_6041, whole genome shotgun sequence.
UGGCGAUGAUUAUAACUUAUCCGCGCUUCUGAGAUGCGUCAAUGAAGCACAAAGGAUAAAAUGGUUGAAUUUCUUGAUAUGAGCCG